rnacentral:rRNA from 1 species
GAUGAACGCUGGCGGCGUGCUUAACACAUGCAAGUCGAACGGGAAACAUUCAUUGAGGCUUCGGCGGAUUUGAUCUGUUUCUAGUGGCGGACGGGUGAGUAACGCGUGGGUAACCUGCCUUAUACUGGGGGAUAACAGCCAGAAAUGACUGCUAAUACCGCAUAAGCGCACAGAACCGCAUGGUUCCGUGUGAAAAACUCCGGUGGUAUAAGAUGGACCCGCGUUGGAUUAGCUAGUUGGCAGGGCAGCGGCCUACCAAGGCGACGAUCCAUAGCCGGCCUGAGAGGGUGAACGGCCACAUUGGGACUGAGACACGGCCCAGACUCCUACGGGAGGCAGCAGUGGGGAAUAUUGCACAAUGGGGGAAACCCUGAUGCAGCGACGCCGCGUGAAGGAAGAAGUAUCUCGGUAUGUAAACUUCUAUCAGCAGGGAAGAUAAUGACGGUACCUGACUAAGAAGCCCCGGCUAACUACGUGCCAGCAGCCGCGGUAAUACGUAGGGGGCAAGCGUUAUCCGGAUUUACUGGGUGUAAAGGGAGCGUAGACGGCGCAGCAAGUCUGAUGUGAAAGG